rnacentral:tRNA from 1 species
GCGUCUGUAGCUCAGUUGGGUAGAGCACUGCCUUGACGUGGCAGUGGUCAGUGGUUCGAGUCCACUCAGACGCACCA